AUUGAACGCUGGCGGCAGGCUUAACACAUGCAAGUCGAGCGGGGUGAUGGUGCUUGCACUAUCACUUAGCGGCGGACGGGUGAGCAAUGCUUAGGAAUCUGCCUAUUAGUGGGGGACAACAUCUCGAAAGGGAUGCUAAUACCGCAUACGUCCUACGGGAGAAAGCAGGGGAUCACUUGUGACCUUGCGCUAAUAGAUGAGCCUAAGUCGGAUUAGCUAGUUGGUGGGGUAAAGGCCUACCAAGGCGACGAUCUGUAGCGGGUCUGAGAGGAUGAUCCGCCACACUGGGACUGAGACAGGGCCCAGACUCCUACGGGAGGCAGCAGUGGGGAAUAUUGGACAAUGGGGGGAACCCUGAUCCAGCCAUGCCGCGUGUGUGAAGAAGGCCUUAUGGUUGUAAAGCACUUUAAGCGAGGAGGAGGCUACCUAGUUAAUACCUGGGAUAAGUGGACGUUACUCGCAGAAUAAGCACCGGCUAACUCUGUGCCAGCAGCCGCCGUAA
rnacentral:rRNA from 1 species